rnacentral:rRNA from 1 species
GAUGAACGCUAGCGACAGGCCUAACACAUGCAAGUCGAGGGGCAGCACAUGAGUAGCAAUACGAUGGUGGCGACCGGCGCACGGGUGAGUAACACGUAUGCAACCUGCCUGUAAGAGGGGGAUAACCCGGAGAAAUUCGGACUAAUACCGCAUAAUACCACGAGACUGCAUGGUUUUGUGGUUAAACAUUUAUGGCUUACAGAUGGGCAUGCGUAUGAUUAGAUAGUUGGUAGGGUAACGGCCUACCAAGUCUACGAUCAUUAGGGGUUCUGAGAGGAAGGUCCCCCACACUGGAACUGAGACACGGUCCAGACUCCUACGGGAGGCAGCAGUGAGGAAUAUUGGACAAUGGUCGGAAGACUGAUCCAGCCAUGCCGCGUGAAGGUUACAGUCCUAUGGAUUUUAAACUUCUUUUGUAUGGAAGCAAUAAGGUGUACGCGUACACCGAUGAGAGUCCCAUACGAAUAAGCAUCGGCUAACUCCGUGCCAGCAGCCGCGGUAAUACGGAGGAUGCAAGCGUUAUCCGGAUUUAUUGGGUUUAAAGGGCGCGUAGGCGGAUAUGUAAGUCAGCGGUGAAACUCACAGGCUCAACCUGUGCCGUGCCGUUGAAACUGUGUAUCUGGAAUGCGGAUGCUGUGGGAGGAAUGUGUAGUGUAGCGGUGAAAUGCAUAGAUAUUACACAGAACACCGAUUGCGAAGGCAUCUCACAAAGCCGUUAUUGACGCUGAGGCACGAAAGUGUGGGGAUCAAACAGGAUUAGAUACCCUGGUAGUCCACUACUGUAAACUAUGAUAACUCGCUGCCAGCGACAGACAGUUGGUGGCCCAGCGAAAGCGAUAAGUUAUCCACCUGGGGAGUACGACCGCAAGAUUGAAACUCAAAGGAAUUGACGGGGGCCCGCACAAGCGGAGGAACAUGUGGUUUAAUUCGAAGCAACGCGAAGAACCUUACCAGGUCUUGACAUCCAGGUAAACCCUGAGAGAUCAGGCGUGCCUUCGGGCAAUCUGAGACAGGUGGUGCAUGGUUGUCGUCAGCUCGUGUCGUGAGAUGUUGGGUUAAGUCCCGCAACGAGCGCAACCCUUGCUGAUAGUUACUAACACGUCAAGGUGAGGACUCUAUCAGGACCGCCGGGGACAACUCGGAGGAAGGUGGGGACGACGUCAAAUCAUCAUGCCCCUUAUGGCCUGGGCUACACACGUGCUACAAUGGCCGAGACAGAGGGAAGCGAAGGCGCAAGCCGGAGCGAAUCUCCAAAAGGCGGCCACAGUUCGGAUUGUGGGCUGCAACCCGCCCGCAUGAAGCCGGAGUUGCUAGUAAUCGCGAAUCAGCAUGUCGCGGUGAAUACGUUCCCGGGCCU